rnacentral:lncRNA from 1 species
AUGUUCCAGAGUACGAACCUCCUCACGCGACGCUGGCGGAGGAGGAGUGAGGGGUGUAGGGGAGCCCCGGGGUUUAUUAAAGCCCCCCCCCCCCCCCCAGCAGCUGGAGAAGCCAUCAGCAUCUGGAGAAACCCCACGUGUGUCACACCUCCACCCUCCAAACUCUGUGCAGAUAAAGUGCUGUUCACCUCACGGCGGACGUGGAAACGCUCCUCCUCCUCCUCCUCCCCCUCCUCCUCUUCCCUCCUCCUCCUCCUCCUCCUCCUCCUCCUCCUCCCCCUCCUCCCCCUCCUCCUCCUCCUCCCCCUCCUCCUCCCUCCCCCUCCUCCUCUUCCUCCUCCUCCUCCUCCCCUCCUCCUCCUCCUCCCCCUCCUCGUCUUCCUCCUCCUCCUCCUCCCCCUCCUCCCCCCCUCCUCCUCCUCCCCUCCUCCUCCUCCCCUCCUCCUCCUCCUCCUCCUCCUCCCCCUCCUCCUCCUCCUCUUCCUCCUCCUCCUCCUCCCCCUCCUCCCCCCCCUCCUCCUCCUCCUCCUCCUCCUCCCCUCCUCCUCUCCCCCCCUCCCCCUCCUCCUCCUCCUCCUCCUCUUCCUCUUCCUCUUCCUCUCCUCCUCCUCCUCCUCCUCCUCCUCCUCCUCCUCCCGCCUCAGCGCCUCCCCCCCCCUCCUCUUCCUCCCUCCUCCUCCUCCCUCCUCCUCCUCCUCCUCGUCUUCCCUCCUCCUCCUCCUCCUCUUCCUCCUCCUCCUCCUCCUCCCCCCUCCUCCUCUUCCUCCUCCUGAUGGCUUCUCCACGUUUCUGCUCAGUGCGAGCACUUUCCACACAUCCGCCGCGGGACGGAUGCGAGCGCACGGAGACGAGGCAGCAGUUUUCCACAUGUUGGCGCGUGACAACAAUACAUGUGGUUGGAGUUUUCUAAAAGCUAAGCUGCAGAUUUAUGGCUCUGUGCGUGCAGAGCGUAUAGACUGGAGGAGGGUGACUCCACUAUGGACGUACAAAGGAGUCAUUACGUCAGAUAAACGAGAUCAAUUAUCUGUGGAUUGGAGACUCUCCCAUUUCAGACACUGA